CUGAGUUGCUAGGCAACUCCAUUUUGGAGCUGAGGUUCUCACUGUGGCGAGCAGCUUCCACGCAGGGACGGGGAGUUGAUGGCGCCGGUGAUUACAGGAUGGCAGCUGGUUUCCAAAAACAAAAGAGCAUCUCAAGAGAACUGGAUGGAAGCACUAUCCUCUUGUAUGUCCUGGCUUCAGAAGUCACAAGACUGACUCAGAUUCCAAGUCAGGGAACACGACCUGUCUCUUCAUUGGAGAAAUGUGAAUGCCAAUUGAAAGAAUGUAUGGAGAACUUGUUGCAGCCAUUUUGAAAAAGGGAUGAAGCUGUACCUUCAUUCCCUCGAUGAACGUUAAUGAAGCAUAGAGUCUGCUGUGAGGGACCUAAAGACACAUUGAAACAGAGCCUGCCCGCAUGGAGGUGAGACUGAACAGAAGUAGUAACUUGCCCUUGUACAUAAACAUCACACAAAAUGGGAAUUUCAAAUCCCCCCAAAGAGGCAUAGUUAAUAGGUUAUAGGAGGUCUAAAAAGAGAGAACUAUUCUUAUUGGGAGGGCUGGGAGCAGACAGAACUAAUAACUAGUUUCUGAGUUGGGUUGUGCUAGGCUUGCUAGAAGAAACAGAGAAGAAUCUUGUGUAAUUUUCAAAUUUUAAAUAUAUUUGUGUAGGAUAUGAUGAAUAUAAAUUAAUAUAAAUAUAAUUCUAUUAUAGUUAA